rnacentral:rRNA from 1 species
CCUACGGGAGGCAGCAGUAGGGAAUCUUCCACAAUGGGCGAAAGCCUGAUGCAGCAACGCCGCGUGGGUGAAGAAGGUCUUCGGAUCGUAAAAUUCUGUUGUUAGAGAAGAAAGUGCGUGAGUGUAACUGUUCACGUUUCGACGGUAACUAACCAGAAAGCACCGGCUAACUACGUGCCAGCAGCCGCGGUAAUACGUAGGUGGCAAGCGUUAUCCGGAUUUAUUGGGCGUAAAGGGAACGCAGGCGGUCUUUUAAGUCUGAUGUGAAAGCCUUCGGCUUAACCGGAGAAGUGCAUUGGAUACUGGGAGACUUGAGUACAGAAGAGGAGAGUGGAACUCCAUGUGUAGCGGUGAAAUGCGUAGAUAUAUGGAAGAACACCAGUGGCGAAAGCGGCUCUCUGGUCUGUAACUGACGCUGAGGUUCGAAAGCGUGGGUAGCAAACAGGAUUAGAUACCCUGGUAGUC